ensembl:snoRNA small nucleolar RNA SNORA28
AAGCAACACGAUAGCAGAUCGUCAGAACUCUCUGAUGCAGUUUGAGUUCACUGUAGCAAGAAAGUCCCACCUAUUCUGGUGCUCUCUCCUCUGAGACAAGCCGUUAUAUCGACUUCACAGU